rnacentral:lncRNA from 1 species
UUCUAUCUUUAUCCAUGGAUCCUUUACUUAUACUUAAAAAAUUGGAAGUAUUGAUCCAAUUCAAAAACAAAAAACAAAAUUAUGUUUCGCAAUUUCAUAAUCCAAAUUGUCAAUUUCGAAUUGACUCUUGGAUACAAAUCACGAGAACGGAUAUUUUUCUCCGAAUCUUUUAUUUAAAUUUGAGAGUGAAAGGAUUAAAAUUGAAUCCUUUUAAGAAAUAAAGUUUUUGAUUGAAAUAUCAAUUAAACUGAAGGACCCCUUAACUAUUAAGGGGAUUAAUUGAACGAAUCACACUUUUACCACUAAACUAUACCCGCUACAAUGCGAUUAUUGUAUAAAAAGGGCCCUUUGUCGAACAAGAGAAUCAGAUGUAAUCAAGAUAGGACAUAAAUUUAAAAUAAUCAUGAAAUGAAAAUUGGAAAUUAGAACGUUGACGUCUUUGUCAGGAGUCCUCGUAAAGGAGGAGUUAUUUCGUUUAAAUAACUAAAUUUAAUAAUUCAAAACAAUUUCUUUUGUUGGACGAAUUUUGACAGAUAUGGCUCGACAAAAUAACUUUUAUCCACACACCAAAUACAAAUUUGGAUUCUUGAUUCAAUCAAAAGAAUGGAAAUAGUCCUUCUUUUUAUUGUUCCUUUGAAUACAAUAACAAGGAUUUCAUUUUGUGGUUUUCAAAUCAAAUUCAAAUAAAUCGUUUUUUUAUGGUAUGGUUCGCACCCUUUCUACGGUUCAGCGGUAUGGGUCAUUAGAACAAAAAAAGGCCCGGCUGGGUACUGACCAGGCCAGGCCGUGGAAGUGGAAAUAAAAAAGGCCCCGUUGAACGAAAUUAAAGAGAUAUUCUUUUCUUUAUUUUUUUCUAUUUUAUCUCUUUCGAAUACUUUCUUUAUUUUAAUUUUCGAAAAAUGAUAGAAAUGGAAUUGCUGAUAAAAGUUAUAUCUAUUUAUAUAAUAGAAUACAAAAGACAAUAAAAAAAAAGAAAUUCUAUAAGCUAUAUUUUCUAUGAGCUAUAUAAUCAAUUUACUUUCUAUAUUCUCUUCUAGAGAAUAUAGAAGAGAAUAUAGAAAGUAAAGAUAGAAAAUCAAGUAAAGACGGGCUUUUUCAAGCAUUAUUUUUUGUGUAAUGUAACAUAGUCAUUUUUUUUUUUAUUUUUUUAUUUUCAAUUAGGAGAGAUGGCUGAGUGGAUUAAAGCGUCGGAUUGCUAAUCCGGUGUACGAGUUCUUCGUACCGAGGGUUCGAAUCCCUCUCUUUCCGUUUCGGGCGAUGGCUUGGUAUUUUUCAAAUUUAACUUUAGCGAACACUUUUACUUUAUUUUUAAUAGUAACUGGGAAUCAAAAAAUCCUAAGAACGUUUAUACGAAUAAAGUAAGCAACUCCUUCCUUUUUUAUUCUUCGCGUCCGGGAUUACGCCCUGGAUCAUUAGACAGGAAUCCGAAGAUGAAGAGCGAAACAAAGAAUAUCACUACGGUGUAAACAAAGAGUUUGAGAGUAAGCAUUACACAAUCUCCAAAUCAGGUUUUUGGGGAAAAGGAAAAAGAGAAUAGAUUCUCUAUUUUUAUACUACAUAUCCAAUUUUGACAUCAAGAAAUGAAGUUCUUUUUAGAAUUUGAUUCUCUAAAUAGAAAAUCGUUUUCAUAAAUUAAAUUCACACAAUUAGAAUUCUACAUUUUGGUUGGCUCUAAUAUAAGAUGGUUUCAGUGAAAAAGGGUCAAAAUUGCAAAUAGCAAAUGGGGGAUCAAAAUGGAUCGCGGUUCCCCAAGAAUUUCAUUGUUUGAAUGUUUGAAUUGAGGCGGGGGUUCGUUCAUAUUGUAAGACUCAUCUGCUCUUAUUUAUUAAUUGUUAGAAUUUUUUUUUUUUUCGAACUAGAAUAAAUCAUGAAUUUUUCUAGCACAAUAUUAAAGAUCUUAUCGAAAACUUACAGCAGCUUGCCAAACAAAGGCUAAGAGAAAAAAUAGAACAGGUAUUACUGGCAUAAUAUCUACAAUUGGAUUCAAAAAAGCGUAGGCCUCGGGUAAUUUAGCGAAUAAAAAACUACUCGAAUAAAGGGCAGAAUUAAGACAGAUAUACAUUAAACUAAAGAUAUUAAGCAUAACAAACAUUUUGUUCUUGGAG